rnacentral:rRNA from 1 species
GGGGAAUAUUGCGCAAUGGGCGGAAGCCUGACGCAGCGACGCCGCGUGAGGGAUGACGGCCUUCGGGUUGUAAACCUCUUUCGGUAGGGACGAAGCGCGAGUGACGGUACCUACAGAAGAAGCGCCGGCCAACUACGUGCCAGCAGCCGCGGUAAGACGUAGGGCGCAAGCGUUGUCCGGAUUUAUUGGGCGUAAAGAGCUCGUAGGCGGCGUGUCGCGUCGUCCGUGAAAACCUGCAGCUGAACUGUGGGCGUGCGGUCGAUACGGGCAUGCUAGAGGCAGGUAGGGGAGAUCGGAAUUCCUGGUGUAGCGGUGAAAUGCGCAGAUAUCAGGAGGAACACCGGUGGCGAAGGCGGAUCUCUGGGCCCGUUCUGACGCUGAGGAGCGAAAGCGUGGGGAGCGAAC